AGGGAACUGAAACAUCUAAGUACCUGGAGGAAAGGACAUCAAUCGAGACUCCGUUAGUAGUGGCGAGCGAACGCGGACCAGGCCAGUGAUACAUCAAAGACAAUCGGAACCAGUCAGGAAAGCUGGGCCUCAGAGGGUGAUAGCCCCGUACGAGUAAUGCGAUGAUGUAUCCACGAGUAAGGCGGGACACGUGUAAUCCUGUCUGAACACGGGGGGACCACCCUCCAAGCCUAAGUACUCCUCAGCGACCGAUAGUGAACCAGUACCGUGAGGGAAAGGUGAAAAGCACCCCGACGAGGGGAGUGAAAUAGACCUGAAACCGGACACCUACAAACAGAUGGAGCC
rnacentral:rRNA from 1 species